rnacentral:rRNA from 1 species
GGUUGAUCCUGCCGGAGGUCACUGCUAUCGGGGUUCGAUUAAGCCAUGCGAGUUGAGAGGGUUAAGACCCUCAGCGGACUGCUCAGUAACACGUGGAUAACCUGCCCUAAGGUGGAGAAUAACCCCGGGAAACUGGGGAUAAUACUCCAUAGACUAGAGCUACUGGAAUGUUCUUUAGUCGAAAGUUGAGGCGCCUUAGGAUGGAUCUGCGGUCGAUUAGGUUGUUGUUGGGGUAACGGCCCAACAAGCCUGUAAUCGAUACGGGUUGUGGGAGCAAGAGCCCGGAGAUGGAAUCUGAGACACGAUUCCAGGCCCUACGGGGCGCAGCAGGCGCGAAAACUUUACAAUGCAGGAAACUGUGAUAAGGGAACCCCGAGUGCCCGUAUACGCGGGCUGUCCAGGUGUUUAAAAAGCAUCUGAAGAAAGGGCCGGGCAAGACCGGUGCCAGCCGCCGCGGUAAUACCGGCGGCUCGAGUGGUGGCCACUAUUAUUGGGCUUAAAGCGUCCGUAGCUGGACCCUUAAGUCUCUUGGGAAAUCCGCCGGCUUAACCGGCGGGCAUCCAGGAGAUACUGAGUGUCUAGGGACCGGGAGAGGUGAGAGGUACUCCANGGGGUAGGANUGAAAUCCUGUNNUCCNNNGGGGGACCACCNAUGGCGAANGCAUCUCNCCA